GCAAGCGUUAAUCGGAAUUACUGGGCGUAAAGCGUGCGCAGGCGGUCUGUUAAGCGAGAUGUGAAAGACCCCGGGCCUCAACCUGGGAACUGCAUUUCGAACUGGCAGACUAGAGUCUUGUUAGAGGGGGGUAGGAAUUCCAGGUGUAGCGGUGAAAUGCGUAGAGAUCUGGAGGGAAUACCGGUGGCGAAGGCGGCCCCCUCGGACAAAGACUGACGCUCAGGCACGAAAGCGUGGGGAGCAAACAGGAUUAGAUACCCCUGGUAG
rnacentral:rRNA from 1 species